AAUUUGUAGUAGAAUAUUGUGUCUUGUAAACUUAAUUCAGUUGAGCACAUGAAAAGGGUUUCAGGAACCAUAUUUGUGCACAAUUU